rnacentral:lncRNA from 1 species
AGCUUCCGAAGGCUUCCCAGACAAAAAAUCUUCGAACUCUUUUAUCUCUAAAGAGCUCGGUUUGAUCAAAGAUACUGCAUAAUCAAUACAACUCUGUGUUAUAAUCCACAUUAUAAAAGCAUUUUCAAAAAAUUCGUAUACAUAUAAAAUAGACCGAUACUUACAUUUAUGGUCAUAUAACCAUGCUUGCUUUGAGAGGAGUCCGUACUUCCACUCCUCCUUGGGAAAAUUGUCAAAAAGUUCC